UAUUGAGAGCUUUAACCUUGUGCGACCCCGCGUGGAUGUUGUUUUUGGGCUUUGCCAUAUGCAACACCAAAUUCUAAUUCAUUUAAACUGACUGAUCUCAGUUCAGAAGACUCUGGGCUGUCAGUAAAGGGUUAAAAUUUCACAUACAGAGUCAUGUGACAAAACAACAUGGUGGUGAUCACAGCGGAGUUUGUCUUUUGAGGAAACACCAACAAAACUACAUCUUUUGACUGUAAAGAACAGAAAGGGUAUUAAAAGAGACAUUACUCAAUGACAUAUGGAUUGUGUGAAUCUCGUCAGUUUGGACACAAAAGAAAGAGUCAAACCAAACUUUACUCUCAACACACAGUGAAAGGAUCUCGCUGCUGAACUUCUACAUCACUAUACUACUAAAUCACUGGUCACCCCAAACCCAGGCCAUUAGUUGAUUCAAUGUUGCUUCAAACAAACAGAGCAAUGUGCCUCUGAGCCACAGUGUUUACACUUAUUGGAGAAAUGAAACUACGAAUGGCUUACUUUUAAAGCUGUCCCUGCACAUUAAACAAGGAUAGACAAAUGUAUAUUGUCAAAAACGUUACACACAUCAUCUUUAAAGCAGCAAUGAAACUAUUCAACUUACAAGUAUGAAAGAAAUGUGGUACCUGAAUAAAAAUCCCAGGAAAAGGCCUGGCCACAGGACGGUGCCACCGCCUUACACUUUGGAGAAACUACAACUAAUGUUAGACCAUCAAACAUCCAGCAUAAUUCUAUGGAGACCAGCACAAGCUAUCAGCCAUGCCAGAGCUUUUGUAAGCCAUUUGCCUAAAGCAACAAUCCCCUCUGUAGUUCAAGCUUAAGCAGUAUAAGAUCUACAAACAUGAAUUGUCCCUCCUCUUUGCAAACAGAAAAAGGCCUCAAACUUGCACAAAGAGGGUUUGUCCAAAGCCAGCAGCAGAGCAGUGGGCUGUCAUGAUGUGACCAACAGCUGGGAUCUUAGGAUGUGCCAAGUGCAUGAGCUGAGAGACUAUUUAGCAGAGAUGGGCCACUUCAAUUAAAAUCAAUGGUUAAAAUUGGAACGCCGAACAGUCAACGGAUGUGGAAAGUCCCACCUUUCAGAUUCCUCCUCCAGUUCAUCAUCCAGGUCAUCCGGCAGAGGGGGAAGCACAGGGUCAAAGUUCUUCUGCGCCACCAUGUCAUGUACUGCUAGCACUGCCUGAUGGAUCAUGCGGAGAGUGAGAGUUGGAGGAGAUAAAGGACGGCCCAGUCCACCGAAAGUGGGAGAGAGAGCCCAGCUGAAAAGCUAUUUGUGUGUUGGACACUGCCGUGUUUCAACGUUUGAGUGUUUAAAUUGAAGCUUCACCAUUGCGC